AACGAACGCUGGCGGCAGGCUUAACACAUGCAAGUCGAACGAUGUAGCAAUACAUAGUGGCGCACGGGUGAGUAACGCGUGGGAAUAUACCAAUCAGUGGGGAAUAACUUUGGGAAACUAAAGCUAAUACCGCAUACGCCCGAGAGGGGAAAGAUUUAUCGCUGAUUGAUUAGCCCGCGUGAGAUUAGGUAGUUGGUGGGGUAAUGGCCUACCAAGCCUACGAUCUCUAGCUGGUCUGAGAGGAUGAUCAGCCACACUGGAACUGAGACACGGUCCAGACUCCUACGGGAGGCAGCAGUGGGGAAUAUUGGGCAAUGGAGGAAACUCUGACCCAGCCAUGCCGCGUGAAUGAUGAAGGCCUUAGGGUUGUAAAAGUUCUUUCGCCGAUGAAGAUAAUGACGGUAGUCGGAGAAGAAGCCCCGGCUAACUCGUGCCAGCAGCCGCGGUAAU
rnacentral:rRNA from 1 species